rnacentral:rRNA from 1 species
UACGGGGGGGGCAAGCGUUGUUCGGAAUUACUGGGCGUAAAGGGCUCGUAGGCGGCCAACUAAGUCAGACGUGAAAUCCCUCGGCUUAACCGGGGAACUGCGUCUGAUACUGGAUGGCUAGAGUUUGGGAGAGGGAUGCGGAAUUCCAGGUGUAGCGGUGAAAUGCGUAGAUAUCUGGAGGAACACCGGUGGCGAAGGCGGCUUCCUGGACCGACACUGACGCUGAGGCGCGAAAGCUAGGGGAGCAAACGGG